GUCUAUGGCCAUACCACCCUGAAUGCGCCCGAUCUCGUCUGAUCUCGGAAGCUAAGCAGGGUCGGGCCUGGUUAGUACUUGGAUGGGAGACCACUUGGGAAUAAUUAGAGACAGUUUACA
rnacentral:rRNA from 1 species